CCAGGUCUGGUUAGAUUUCUGAAAGGUCAGGGAGCACAUUGAACACAUCAAGGCAUCAUGCCUCAUUUUAAAGAUAUUUCUGCAAGAAUAGAGGAGCAGAAAGAAAUACUAUAAUGAAGGCCAAAGUGGAGUAUAAACAAAAUGGAGGGAUUAUUUGUUAAGCCUUUGAGAAUAUGCUGAAGGAAUAACAACUUUAUUGUAACUGCUGCGUGACAACAUGGAGAGAUGCGUCCUGAUGUCAAUGAUGAUAAAGCAUCAAAAAGUGUGCAUCUUAGAAUGAACAAAUUCUAAGUUAGUUAUGAUUGUUGGGGCUAACACAUUUUCAAUAUGUAUUUUUUUUCAAUGCAUGAAGCUAAAAUGAGAAAUAAUUAUAACACUUCACACUUGUUUACAACUUUACAGCCUCCAAAGCAUUUCCCUACACAUUAUCUGAUUAAAAUUUCAGCCUAGAACCAACACUAGCAACAGCAUCGUUAUCUCUGGUGGUAGAUGACAUUUUUAAAACCAUGUCAAUGAUGUUAUUCUGCAAGUUUGUAUUUACACACUUCUUCAUUUCAUUUACUAGUUGUGGCAGACUGCAUGUCCACCAAAAUCCAUUCUCCCUUUUUUCCUGGUACAACUGGGCUGUAUUUUCCAGGCUCCCUGAAGAGUUAUGGCUGUGUGACUGAGUUCUAGUCAAUGGAAUGUGAACAUACAAGGUAUAUACUACUUUCAGGCCUGGCCCAUACAAUUAUUCAGUACAUGCUCUCCCCUCCAUUUAAACAUUGGAGACAUUUUACUGGGAGACAAAUGUGAAGAUGGUAUAGCCUCCAUCACUCUAGGUCUUUAAAUGGCUUUGUAGUUCCUGUUAUCCCCACCCUAAGCAGUUACAUAAAAAAGUAAUAAACAUUGUUCUUUAAGCCAUUGAAUUCUGAAAUUUAUGUGUCAUCAUGUCUUAGCUUGCUUUUUUAAUUAAAAAAUUUUUAAACUUUUAUUUUAAGUUCAGGAGUACAUAUGCAGGUUUGUUAUGUAGGUAGAUUGCAUGUCAUGGGGGUUUGGAGUACAGAUCAUUUCAUCACCCAGGUAGUAAGCAUAAUUUCCAAUAUGUAGUUUAUUGAUCCUCACCCUCCUCCCACCUUCCACCCUCAAUUAGGCCCUGAUGUCUAUUGUUCUCUUCUUUGUGUCUAUGUGUACUCAAUGUUUAGCUCCCACUUAUAAGUGACAACAUGCAGGAUUUGGUUUUCUGUUUCUGUGUUAGUUUGCUUAGGUGAAUGACUUCCAGCUCCAUCAUGUUGCUGCAAAGGACACAAUCUCAUUCUUUACUAUGGCUGUGUGGUAUUCUAUGGUGUACAUGUACCACAUUUUCUUUAUCCAGUCUACCAUUAAUGGACAUUUAGUUGAUUCCAUGUCUUUGCUAUUGUGAAUAGUGCUGCAAUGAACACACAUGUGCAUGUGUCUUUAUGGCAGAAUGAUUUACAUUCUUCUGGGUAUACACUCGGUAAAGGGAUUGCUGGGUCAAGUGGUAUUUCUCUUUUAAGUUCUUUGAGAAAUCUCCAAGCUGCUUUCCACGAUGACUGAACUAAUUUACAUUCCCACCAGCAGUGUAUGUGUUCCCUUUUCUCCGCAAACUUGCAGGCAUCUGUUAUUUUUUUGACCUUUUAAUAACAGCAAUUAUGACUGGUGUAAGAUGGUAUCUCAUUGUGAUUUGCAUUUCUGUAACUACUAGUGACAUUGAGCAUCUUUUUAUAUGCUUGUUGGCUGCUUGUAAGUCUUCUCUUGAAAAGUAUCUGUUCAUGUGCUUUGCCCACUUUUUAAUGAGUUGUUGGUUUUUUGCUUGUUAAUUUGUUUAAGCUCCUUAUAGAUUCUAUACAUUAGAUAUUUGUUGAAUGCACAGUUUGCAAAUAUUUUCUCCCAUUCUGUAGAUUGUCUAUUUACUCUGUUGGUUGUUGCUUUUGUUGUGCAGAAGCUCUGUAGUUCAAUUAGGUCCAAUUUGUCAAUUUGUGUUUUUGUUGUAAUAAAAUCUUUACCAGAGCCUAUGUCCUGUCUUAGCUUACUUUAACAAAUACAAUAGAUCGAGUUGCAUGUUUUCC
rnacentral:lncRNA from 10 species